rnacentral:rRNA from 1 species
UACAGAGGGUGCAAGCGUUGUUCGGAAUUAUUGGGCGUAAAGGGCGCGUAGGCGGUGCCACAAGUCACCUGUGAAAUCUCCGGGCUUAACUCGGAGCCUGCAGGCGAAACUGUGGUGCUGGAGUGUGGGAGAGGUGCGUGGAAUUCCCGGUGUAGCGGUGAAAUGCGUAGAUAUCAGGAGGAACACCGAUGGCGAAGGCAGAUCUCUGGGCCGUAACUGACGCUGAGGAGCGAAAGCAUGGGGAGCGAACAGG